CAGCAGCCGCGGUAAUACGUAGGUGGCAAGCGUUGUCCGGAAUUAUUGGGCGUAAAGCGCGCGCAGGCGGUUYYUUAAGUCUGAUGUGAAAGCCCACGGCUCAACCGUGGAGGGUCAUUGGAAACUGGGGRACUUGAGUGCAGAAGAGAAGAGUGGAAUUCCACGUGUAGCGGUGAAAUGCGUAGAGAUGUGGAGGAACACCAGUGGCGAAGGCGACUCUUUGGUCUGUAACUGACGCUGAGGCGCGAAAGCGUGGGGAGCAAACAGGAUUAGAUACCCUGGUAGUCCACGCCGUAAACGAUGAGUGCUAAGUGUURGAGGGUUUCCGCCCUUUAGUGCUGCAGCAAACGCAUUAAGCACUCCGCCUGGGGAGUACGGCCGCAAGGCUGAAACUCAAAGGAAUUGAC
rnacentral:rRNA from 1 species